GAGUUUGAUCUUGGCUCAGAUUGAACGCUGGCGGCAGGCCUAACACAUGCAAGUCGAGCGGUAGAGAGAAGCUUGCUUCUCUUGAGAGCGGCGGACGGGUGAGUAAUGCCUAGGAAUCUGCCUGGUAGUGGGGGAUAACGCUCGGAAACGGACGCUAAUACCGCAUACGUCCUACGGGAGAAAGCAGGGGACCUUCGGGCCUUGCGCUAUCAGAUGAGCCUAGGUCGGAUUAGCUAGUUGGUGAGGUAAUGGCUCACCAAGGCGACGAUCCGUAACUGGUCUGAGAGGAUGAUCAGUCACACUGGAACUGAGACACGGUCCAGACUCCUACGGGAGGCAGCAGUGGGGAAUAUUGGACAAUGGGCGAAAGCCUGAUCCAGCCAUGCCGCGUGUGUGAAGAAGGUCUUCGGAUUGUAAAGCACUUUAAGUUGGGAGGAAGGGCAGUAAAUUAAUACUUUAGCUGUUUUGACGUUACCGACAGAAUAAGCACCGGCUAACUCUGUGCCAGCCGCCG
rnacentral:rRNA from 1 species